rnacentral:rRNA from 1 species
UACGGAAGGCAGCAGUGGGGAAUAUUGCACAAUGGGCGAAAGCCUGAUGCAGCUAUGCCGCGUGUAUGAAGAAGGCCUUAGGGUUGUAAAGUACUUUCAUCGGGGAGGAAAAAACAAAACUAAUAAUUUUAUUUCUUGACGUUACCCGAAAAAGAAGCACCGGCUAACUCCGUGCCAGCAGCCGCGGUAAUACGGAGGGUGCUAGCGUUAAUCAGAAUUACUGGGCGUAAAGAGCACGUAGGUGGUUUUUUUAAGUCAGAUGUGAAAUCCCUGGGCUUAACCUGGAACUGCAUUUUGAAACUGAAAUACUAGAGUAUCGUAGAGGGAGGUAGAAUUCUAGGUGUAGCGGUGAAAUGCGUAGAUAUCUGGAGGAAUACCUGUGGCGAAAGCGGCCUCUAAACGAAUACUGACACUGAGGUGCGAAAGCGUGGGGAGCAAACAGGGAUUUAGAUACCCGU